rnacentral:lncRNA from 1 species
GAAUCAAUAUCAGAUGUAAAACAGAGAAGACAAUGGAAUUAAAAUCUUCAGAAUUCCUUUCAGCCUUUCCAGAUGCUGAUAGCUGAUACUGAUAUUAAAACCUCAACAAAAAAGUUCUUGCAAAGCAUCUGAAUUGCCUACAGUGAUAUCACCCAAGGCUGUUGUCUUGCUUGAUUUUUAUUAACCAAGCAGAGUUUGACUCCAUCAGCAAUUGUACAGAAGCCCUCCAGUCCCCAGACCUUGCUGUCUUAAUUAGUUUCACUGUUACAGAUGUGUGCUAGUCAUUACUGCCUUUCUGUGACUGAAGUUGGAGUUCACGUUGACAAGCCUUGUGGUGAUGUCCCUGAGAGGAUGAAUAGACUGUUUAAUGCACUCUUGUCCUGGAAUCAGCCAAACAUCAAAGGCAUCGUGUGGUUCAUUAUUAAAAAAAAAUACACUUGCACAGAAAGCCUUAGAAAUUAAUGUUAGACUUUUAGUUUGCAUAUGAGGUCGUGCUGCUCCACAGAUUACAAGGA